UGCUAGAUUGAUGGCGAGUGGCGAACGGGUGAGUAAUACAUCGGAACGUGCCCUGUAGUGGGGGAUAACUAGUCGAAAGAUUAGCUAAUACCGCAUACGACCUGAGGGUGAAAGUGGGGGACCGCAAGGCCUCAUGCUAUAGGAGCGGCCGAUGUCUGAUUAGCUAGUUGGUGGGGUAAAGGCCCACCAAGGCGACGAUCAGUAGCUGGUCUGAGAGGACGAUCAGCCACACUGGGACUGAGACACGGCCCAGACUCCUACGGGAGGCAGCAGUGGGGAAUUUUGGACAAUGGGCGAAAGCCUGAUCCAGCAAUGCCGCGUGUGUGAAGAAGGCCUUCGGGUUGUAAAGCACUUUUGUCCGGAAAGAAAUGGCUCUGGUUAAUACCUGGGGUCGAUGA
rnacentral:rRNA from 1 species